GACGGGGUGACUAAUUGCUAAGCGGCUUGUAAAAAUUCGCAGGACAGUCUGUCGACAUCGUGGCGCGGCCGUCUCAUCGUCGCGCCGUUAUACUUUUUGCCCAUACACGGUUAACUAGAGAAGAGAGCCUACUAGGGGGAGAGAGAUCGAGUAGCAGGGGAAAGUGGUGGGAGCGACAAGGAUAGAGGGGGGCUCUAGUGACGACGGGGCGCGAAAGUAAUGUGGUGGGGGUGGUAUAGCGGCGCGUGGAGAGGAGAAAGGGGAACGGGCGAGAGAAGCAUGUGCGUGUGAGGCCUUAAGGUGAGAAAAGAAAAAUGGCGAAGAGAGGCCGAGGCUGCGUCGUCCCGCGUUCGAAGGCGAGAGGGGACGACGCUUUCGCAGAUUCCACGUGAGAUACCUGCGGCAUUCUUCGUUCUGCAGCAGGGCAUUAAGCCGGAUGCACAUUCGUCGUGGACGACGCUCGGUGAAUUCAUUUCCAAGAAAAAUAUCUUCCGCCACGAAACGAAUUUUACGGCAGAUUUUGUUCGCGGACAGACCGCCGGAGAGCAUCACUCUCUCUCCCUCUCUAUCUAUCUAUCUAUCUAUUUAUCUCUCUCUCCCUCUCUCUCUCUUUUUCUUUCUCAAUAUACGAACGGAGGACAAGGAGAUGUGCGAUGUUUUUGUUAUUUUUCUUUUUUUCAUUUUCGUGGACCGUCUCGGAACCAAGCUCCCGCAAUAAAACAUCUAAUCCGACGAUAAACCGCGCAGUGAUUCUUUCCCGCAACGUUUACGCGUCUCUGACAUGUUUCGUGCGCGCCGUUGAUGCGCACCGGAUCGAAGUUUACGAAUGUAACACUAGUUUAGUUGAAUCAGGGUAUGGUUUAAAGAAUCAGAAUAGACGACAGACAUGUUACAAAUUCUAUAACCUCAAAGGUAGAUAUAUAUAAAAGCUAAUUAAAGAAAGAAAAAACUAUGCGGCGUAAAAAGGGAUUAUAAAACACGAGGAGAUUCCCUAUUUUGUAAAUAAUUAUGGAAGAUGAUUCACUAAAGAACGGUGUCAUUGUCAACAAGACUACCUAUUCUGCGCAUUUAGUGGACAUGCCUGGCUUCGACCGUGAUACGGUAUCCGAAAUAAAGCCAUAAAAGUGCAACCAACACUGUAAAGAUCCACAUUCGCGAUGCUUACAUCUGUUCCAGUGCAUCGACGUGUGUAUGCAUCGAUCGCUAAAAAACUUCAUUUUAAUACCUAAUAAUAACAACGACAUUGGUAAAAAGAGACAUUUGCUAUCAUGGUCGAGGAAAGUUAGUUGCUCGAUGGAAUGAAAAUCGUACAAUUUGAGAUUUCGAUCGAAAACAGUCAAAGAUGAAAAACAUACAUAGUGAGAAAGAAAAAGGGUAAAGGCGGACUGCUAGUAGCGCACAAAAGGACACGAAAUGAUUUAUUUCAAUUCCCUAUCACGGCCGGCUGCUGCGUGUCGUCCACGGUGGCGCUCGAGAGAGGAUCAUUUGCGCGGACCACACGCCGAAUGAAACAAGAAGAAGCUCAAUUACUUCAAGGAAUCAUCGGAGAUCUCUUUGUGGCACAGCUUUACGAUCGAAUUCUGACGCUGCAUCUUGUGUUUCCGCAGGUACGAGACUGACAGAGAGUGGAAAAAAAGGAGAUCAACGACGUCGCAGAAAAGAAACGAACCGAGACGACAACAGGCAUAUGAAAGGGAAAAGGAAACAGGAUGAAGCGUACGGCUAUGACAAAUCUAAUAGAUUCUUGGCGAUUUAGGGUGCCCCACAAGGGGGACCAUAAGAUAGGAAGAGAAUAAAAACAAGCGUAGAAGGGAGGAGAGUAUUUCUAUUCAACGCUCGAUGAACGGAUGUAACGCUUAGUAGACCCUUCUGCUGCCCUUCUAACAAUGAUAUUCCUUCUCGCGAUCGGGCACAGAGGAGAACCGAGAAAAAAGUCAAGCCCUGCCAUUGCUCACCUAUAAUGCGCUGGAGACACACAAUGCUCAUUGUCGACUCGUCGUGGAAUGUGGGGAGCGAGGUAUUGUCGGCGCACUCCAAAUGUGGAUCCCCCCUUUUCGACUGGCACCAACAUUCACGCUGCGCACUAUUUGAUUUCUCAUCCUUUACAAUUGUUAC
rnacentral:lncRNA from 1 species